CACCGUUUCAAUAGACAAUGGAGCUUUUCUGCGAUUUUUAUGCACCCUCAGACAAAUUUGACAAACAAAGCUAAAUUGAAUUUACUACAAAAACGACCCAGUUUAGAGGGCUAAAAGCUAGUUAAAUAGGACAUUCUCACUAAUGGUCUGUUCCAGUGUGACUAGAGCUAUCAUUUGACACCGUUUCAAUAGACAAUGGAGCUUUUCUGCAUUUUUUAUGCACCCCAAGACAAAUUUGACAAACAAAGCUAAAUUGAAUUUACUACAAAAACGACCCAGUUUAGAGGGCUAAAAGCUAGUUAAAU
rnacentral:lncRNA from 1 species